UACGGAGGAUGCAAGCGUUAUCCGGAAUGAUUGGGCGUAAAGCGUCCGCAGGUGGCUGUGUAAGUCUGCUGUCAAAGAGCGAAGCUCAACUUCGUAAAGGCAGUGGAAACUACACGGCUAGAGUGCAGUAGGGGUAGAGGGAAUUCCCGGUGUAGCGGUGAAAUGCGUAGAGAUCGGGAAGAACAUCGGUGGCGAAAGCGCUCUGCUGGACUGCAACUGACACUCAGGGACGAAAGCUAGGGGAGCGAAUGGG
rnacentral:rRNA from 1 species